rnacentral:rRNA from 1 species
UACAGAGGGUGCGAGCGUUAAUCGGAAUUACUGGGCGUAAAGCGCACGUAGUCGGCUUUGCAAGUCGGUUGUGAAAUCCCCGGGCUCAACCUGGGAACUGCAUCCGAGACUGCAUUGCUAGAGUAUGGGAGAGGAAAGCGGAAUUCCAGGUGUAGCGGUGAAAUGCGUAGAUAUCUGGAGGAACACCGGUGGCGAAGGCGGCUUCCUGGACCGACACUGACGCUGAGGCGCGAAAGCUAGGGGAGCAAACGGG